UGGGGAAUAUUGCACAAUGGGCGCAAGCCUGAUGCAGCCAUGCCGCGUGUAUGAAGAAGGCCUUCGGGUUGUAAAGUACUUUCAGCGGGGAGGAAGGGAGUAAAGUUAAUACCUUUACUCAUUGACGUUACCCGCAGAAGAAGCACCGGCUAACUCCGUGCCAGCAGCCGCGGUAAUACGGAGGGUGCAAGCGUUAAUCGGAAUUACUGGGCGUAAAGCGCACGCAGGCGGUUUGUUAAGUCAGAUGUGAAAUCCCCGGGCUUAACCCGGGAAUUGCAUCUGAUACUGGUCAGCUAGAGUCUUGUAGAGGGGGGUAGAAUUCCAUGUGUAGCGGUGAAAUGCGUAGAGAUGUGGAGGAAUACCGGUGGCGAAGGCGGCCCCCUGGACAAAGACUGACGCUCAGGUGCGAAAGCGUGGGGAGCAAACAGG
rnacentral:rRNA from 1 species